rnacentral:rRNA from 1 species
UGAGAAUCCCGUCCACCGAUUGACUAAGGUUUCCAGAGGAAGGCUCGUCCGCUCUGGGUUAGUCGGGUCCUAAGCUGAGGCCGACAGGCGUAGGCGAUGGAUAACAGGUUGAUAUUCCUGUACCACCUAUAAUCGUUUUAAUCGAUGGGGGGACGCAGUAGGAUAGGCGAAGCGUGCGAUUGGAUUGCACGUCUAAGCAGUAAGGCUGAGUAUUAGGCAAAUCCGGUACUCAUUAAGGCUGAGCUGUGAUGGGGAGAAGACAUUGUGUCUUCGAGUCGUUGAUUUCACACUGCCGAGAAAAGCCUCUAGAUAGAAAAUAGGUGCCCGUACCGCAAACCGACACAGGUAGUCAAGAUGAGAAUUCUAAGGUGAGCGAGCGAACUCUCGUUAAGGAACUCGGCAAAAUGACCCCGUAACUUCGGGAGAAGGGGUGCUCUUUAGGGUUAACGCCCAGAAGAGCCGCAGUGAAUAGGCCCAAGCGACUGUUUAUCAAAAACACAGGUCUCUGCUAAACCGUAAGG